rnacentral:tRNA from 1 species
GCUUGGGUAGCUCAGUUGGAAGAGCGCCUGGAACGUGGAGAUGGCGGUUCGACCCCGCCUGCACGCAGCGCGUGUAUAGCUUAACGGUAAAGUGCCCGACGCAGGAGGUCGAUGGUUCGAGUCCAUCCCCUCGCG